ensembl:antisense predicted gene 20703
AGCUCGGGAAGCCUGCAGGCUGUGAGCACGUUGAUCAAAGGUCCCUUUGCGGGCUCAAAUUAACAAGGAGCUGGCGAGCCCGCGCAGCACCUGCCGGUGAAGAACAGCGCAGCAGCAAACCGGCUCAUCUUGCCGGGAGUAUUUGGAAAUGAACCUUGGACUUUAUGAACGCUUGGAGUCAUUGAACCACACCCAACGCUUAUUCUGACAUUUCACUGCUAUCCAGGAUUUACAGGAAAUGUUAGAAAAACUCUGCAGCGACAUUAUUCUGAAGUUUAGAAAGCCUUUACAAAAAUGUGAAGAAAACUGAAUAUAUUUGUGGCAUCUUGAUCUCUACUAUAAAUUGUGAAAUGAUUGGAUUGAGCUUAACGUAUCAAAGCUUUUA